UACGAAGGGGGCUAGCGUUGUUCGGAAUCACUGGGCGUAAAGGGCGCGUAGGCGGCUAGAUAAGUCGGGGGUGAAAGCCUGUGGCUCAACCACAGAAUUGCCUUCGAUACUGUCUGGCUUGAGACCGGAAGGGGAGUGCGGAAUUCCUGGUGUAGCGGUGAAAUGCGCAGAUAUCAGGAGGAACACCGGUGGCGAAGGCGGCACUCUGGGCCGGUACUGACGCUGAGGAGCGAAAGCGUGGGGAGCGAACAGG
rnacentral:rRNA from 1 species